AAGGAACACAGUUAAAAUCAAGCAUUCAGAUUUCAAGCAUUAAUGACAGCCACUGAAAAAAUUAGAUUUGAUCUACGGCUAGAAAAAUAAGUUAUAUUUUGAACCUUAGCACAUCUGCUUUCACUCUGUAUAAUAUGUUCAUCGUCGACAUCACCAUUAACCAUGCCUCUUCUUUGGGGUCCGGUUUAAAAUCCAGGCAAUUAUACAUAAAUAUUUAAAUAUAGACUUGCAGUUGACGAUGUCGCCGGCAUCUUUGGUGACGACAUGAUCGUUGGUGACGACGGCCACCCUCUUCGACGACGGCCACCACCGCUUCCUCGCCUUCAUCUUCUUCCAUCAAUCGUCACCAAGAAGAAGUAUGAUUUAGAGAAAACUCAUACAAAAUCAUAUAUGACAACAGCCAACGAUCUUUCAUCGUGGACAUCAAGCGGUGGAUCCGUCAGUGGUGACACCCUACAUGUUUAUAUAUAAAUCGAUCUGAAUCGACCGGAAAACAAAGUAUAGAGGACGAUCCACAGAUUCAAGGUGUACCGAACUCGUCGACGGCAACGGUGGGCUGUUUCAUUGUGUAUCGAGCUCCUCAAAAUCAAUCCAAAAAUUUAUCCUCUUCAAGUCCUUAUUGUUUUAUAAUUGAAGUAGCUCGAGCUCCUCGAGAACGACAGACUUUAAGCUUUGAAUCGAUUGGUGAAAAGGAGUUUAAAGGACGAUGGACGGGAGAGGAGCGUCGCCGAACAUGUCUGGAAAUUUGGAGAAGAUGAUGAAAAAUAUCAAUUUUCGUCUCCAAAUUUUAAAAUAUACAUCAUCAAUUCUGAAUUUCUAUAAAUAAACAACAUAGUCUUUAAAUUUUCAAAUGUUAAUAUCGAUGGCCCAAAAUAUUUUUUAGUUAUUGAGAUAGACCCA
rnacentral:lncRNA from 1 species